AUUGAACGCUGGCGGCAGGCUUAACACAUGCAAGUCGAGCGGGGGAAGGUAGCUUGCUACCGGACCUAGCGGCGGACGGGUGAGUAAUGCUUAGGAAUCUGCCUAUUAGUGGGGGACAACAUCUCGAAAGGGAUGCUAAUACCGCUUACGUCCUACGGGAGAAAGCAGGGGAUCUUCGGACCUUGCGCUAAUAGAUGAGCCUAAGUCGGAUUAGCUAGUUGGUGGGGUAAAGGCCUACCAAGGCGACGAUCUGUAGCGGGUCUGAGAGGAUGAUCCGCCACACUGGGACUGAGACACGGCCCAGACUCCUACGGGAGGCAGCAGUGGGGAAUAUUGGACAAUGGGGGGAACCCUGACCCAGCCAUGCCGCGUGUGUGAAGAAGGCCUUAUGGUUGUAAAGCACUUUAAGCGAGGAGGAGGCUACUUUAGUUAAUACCUAGAGAUAGUGGACGUUACUCGCAGAAUAAGCACCGGCUAACUCUGUGCCAGCAGCCGCCGUAA
rnacentral:rRNA from 1 species